rnacentral:lncRNA from 1 species
UUUGGGUUUUGAGCAGAAUCUUUCUGCUGCUUGGCUGAAGGUUAUUCAUCAUUUCUACUAGAGCUUGGCUUUCUCUUCUCACAGGCAUUUUUCUCAUGGGGAUUCUCUAUCUGAUCUGUUGAUGCAACUGCACUUUCCUCCUCAUUCUCAUGGUAUUUCAAUCUGCUUCUAUGGAUGCUGCAACUGAUUCCAUGGCCUCUUGAACACGAGUGGAAUCCAGCUGGCGAUGGACCUAAUGGAGGUCUCCCAAUGGGUUUACUUUAAGAGCUUCUUGAGGGCUCAAAGGAUAUUGCAGAAUCUUGGACUUAGGACGCC